rnacentral:rRNA from 1 species
GACGGACGCUGGCUGCGUGCUUAACACAUGCAAGUCGAACGCUGAAGCCCGAAGCUUGCUUCGGGUGGAUGAGUGGCGAACGGGUGAGUAACACGUGAGUAACCUGCCCCUGAUUUCGGGAUAAGCCUGGGAAACUGGGUCUAAUACCGGAUACGACCACCUGACGCAUGUCGGGUGGUGGAAAGUUUUUCGAUCGGGGAUGGGCUCGCGGCCUAUCAGCCUGUUGGUGGGGUAAUGGCCUACCAAGGCGACGACGGGUAGCCGGCCUGAGAGGGGGACCGGCCACACUGGGACUGAGACACGGCCCAGACUCCUACGGGAGGCAGCAGUGGGGAAUAUUGCACAAUGGGGGAAACCCUGACGCAGCGACGCAGCGUGCGGGAUGACGGCCUUCGGGUUGUAAACCGCUUUCAGCAGGGAAGAAGCGAAAGUGACGGUACCUGCAGAAGAAGUACCGGCUAACUACGUGCCAGCAGCCGCCGUAA